GCGAGGGUAGCUCAGCUGGUCAGAGCACGCGCCUGAUAAGCGCGAGGUCGGUGGUUCGAGUCCACUCCCUCGCACCA
rnacentral:tRNA from 1 species